rnacentral:misc_RNA from 1 species
UGCCGCGAAAGGUCUAACCAGCGCUCCAGAGUUUUCCCACCCUCUAUCCGUCGACAUCAAAGGACAGAUUUCCCAUGGCGCGUGACAAGAUUGCUUUGAUUGGUUCAGGUCAGAUCGGCGGGUCGUCGGGCUGAAAGAGCUGGGCGACGUGGUGAUGUUCGACAUCGCCGAAGGCAUCCCCCAGGGCAAGUCGCUCGACAUCGCACAGUCCUCGCCGGUCGACGGCUUCGACGC